rnacentral:rRNA from 1 species
UGGGGAAUUUUGGACAAUGGGCGAAAGCCUGAUCCAGCAAUGCCGCGUGUGUGAAGAAGGCCUUCGGGUUGUAAAGCACUUUUGUCCGGAAAGAAAUCCUUGGCUCUAAUACAGUCGGGGGAUGACGGUACCGGAAGAAUAAGCACCGGCUAACUACGUGCCAGCAGCCGCGGUAAUACGUAGGGUGCAAGCGUUAAUCGGAAUUACUGGGCGUAAAGCGUGCGCAGGCGGUUUGCUAAGACCGAUGUGAAAUCCCCGGGCUCAACCUGGGAACUGCAUUGGUGACUGGCAGGCUAGAGUAUGGCAGAGGGGGGUAGAAUUCCACGUGUAGCAGUGAAAUGCGUAGAGAUGUGGAGGAAUACCGAUGGCGAAGGCAGCCCCCUGGGCCAAUACUGGCGCUCAUGCACGAAAGCGUGGGGAGCAAACAGGAUUCAGAUACCCUGGUAGUCCACGCCCUAAACGAUGUCAACUAGUUGUUGGGGAUUCAUUUCCUUAGUAACGUAGCUAACGCGUGAAGUUGACCGCCUGGGGAGUACGGUCG